rnacentral:tRNA from 1 species
GGAGAAAUGGCCGAGCGGUCGAAGGCGCACGCCUGGAAAGUGUGUAUACUCCAAAAGGGUAUCAAGGGUUCGAAUCCCUUUUUCUCCG